GUGCUUGCUUCAGCAGCACAUAUACUAAAAUUGGAAUAAUACAGAGAAGAUUAGCAUCUUGCAAGAAUGACAUGGAAUUUGUGAAGCAUUCAUAUUUUCA
rnacentral:snRNA from 1 species